CUACCCUCGGCUGCUGCCCGAGCUUCCUCCGCGCGCCGUGCAGUCUCCACGGCUACGCGGCGUCCCCAGCGCGGAUUCCCGAGCCCCGCGCGAGCACCAGGUAGCUGGGCUGAUUCUCGGUGUCUGCCCUUCGGAUGGUCGGCUAGAGAGGGCUGCCAGCGGGAAUUCUGUAGACAAGAGAGAUGCCGUAAAGUAAAUGCCUUUUUGGACGCAGACCAAGAUUGAGAACCAAACUUAAUGCCUCACCAACGCAGGUCUCUCCAAGUGUAGCUAAGACAUUCGCAGAAAAGUAAGUUUUAAUUAAUUUUGUUUUUAGGCCCAUGUUUGAUGAUUUUA
rnacentral:lncRNA from 1 species